rnacentral:rRNA from 1 species
GACGAACGCUGGCGGCGUGCUUAACACAUGCAAGUCGAACGGAAAGGCCCCAGCUUGCUGGGGUACUCGAGUGGCGAACGGGUGAGUAACACGUGGGUGAUCUGCCCUGCACUCUGGGAUAAGCCUGGGAAACUGGGUCUAAUACCGGAUAGGACCGUGCUCUAGUGUGUGCGGUUGAAAGUUUUUCGGUGCAGGAUGAGCCCGCGGCCUAUCAGCUUGUUGGUGGGGUAGUGGCCUACCAAGGCGGCGACGGGUAGCCGGCCUGAGAGGGUGUACGGCCACAUUGGGACUGAGACACGGCCCAGACUCCUACGGGAGGCAGCAGUGGGGAAUAUUGCACAAUGGGCGCAAGCCUGAUGCAGCGACGCCGCGUGGGGGAUGACGGCCUUCGGGUUGUAAACCCCUUUCGGCAGGGACGAAGCUUUUGUGACGGUACCUGCAUAAGAAGCACCGGCUAACUACGUG